UUGACCUCGGAUCAGGUAGGAAUACCCGCUGAACUUAAGCAUAUCAAUAAAGC
rnacentral:rRNA from 1 species